rnacentral:rRNA from 1 species
AGAGUUUGAUCCUGGCUCAGGACGAACGCUGGCGGCACGCUUAACACAUGCAAGUCGAACGAGAGAAGAGGAGCUUGCUUUUCUGAUCUAGUGGCGGACGGGUGAGUAACACGUGAGCAAUCUGCCUUUCAGAGGGGGAUACCGAUUGGAAACGAUCGUUAAUACCGCAUAACAUAAUUGAACCGCAUGAUUUGAUUAUCAAAGAUUUAUCGCUGAAAGAUGAGCUCGAGUCUGAUUAGCUAGUUGGUAAGGUAACGGCUUACCAAGGCGACGAUCAGUAGCCGGACUAAGAGGUUGAUCGGCCACAUUGGGACUGAGACACGGCCCAGACUCCUACGGGAGGCAGCAGUGGGGAAUAUUGCACAAUGGAGGAAACUCUGAUGCAGCGAUGCCGCGUGAGGGAAGAAGGUUUUAGGAUUGUAAACCUCUGUCUUCAGGGACGAAAAAAGACGGUACCUGAGGAGGAAGCUCCGGCUAACUACGUGCCAGCAGCCGCGGUAAUACGUAGGGAGCGAGCGUUGUCCGGAAUUACUGGGUGUAAAGGGAGCGUAGGCGGGAUCGCAAGUCAGAUGUGAAAACUAUGGGCUUAACCCAUAAACUGCAUUUGAAACUGUGGUUCUUGAGUGAAGUAGAGGUAAGCGGAAUUCCUAGUGUAGCGGUGAAAUGCGUAGAUAUUAGGAGGAACAUCAGUGGCGAAGGCGGCUUACUGGGCUUUAACUGACGCUGAGGCUCGAAAGCGUGGGGAGCAAACAGGAUUAGAUACCCUGGUAGUCCACGCCGUAAACGAUGAUUACUAGGUGUGGGGGACUGACCCCUUCCGUGCCGCAGCAAACGCAAUAAGUAAUCCACCUGGGGAGUACGACCGCAAGGUUGAAACUCAAAGGAAUUGACGGGGGCCCGCACAAGCAGUGGAGUAUGUGGAUUAAUUCGAAGCAACGCGAAGAACCUUACCAGGUCUUGACAUCGUAUGCAUAGCUCAGAGAUGAGUGAAAUCUCUUCGGAGACAUAUAGACAGGUGGUGCAUGGUUGUCGUCAGCUCGUGUCGUGAGAUGUUGGGUUAAGUCCCGCAACGAGCGCAACCCUUACUGUUAGUUGCUACGCAAGAGCACUCUAGCAGGACUACCGUUGACAAAACGGAGGAAGGUGGGGAUGACGUCAAAUCAUCAUGCCCCUUAUGACCUGGGCCUCACACGUACUACAAUGGCUGUCAACAGAGGGAAGCAAAGCCGCGAGGUGGAGCGAACCCCUAAAAGCAGUCUUAGUUCGGAUUGUAGGCUGCAACCCGCCUACAUGAAGUCGGAAUUGCUAGUAAUCGCAGAUCAGCAUGCUGCGGUGAAUACGUUCCCGGGCCUUGUACACACCGCCCGUCACGCCAUGGGAGUCGGUAACACCCGAAGCCUGUAGUCUAACCGCAAGGAGGACGCAGUCGAAGGUGGGAUUGAUGACUGGGGUGAAGUCGUAACAAGGUA